CCUGCCCCUAGAUGAAUUACAGAUGUGGCUGUUGUGUCACAUGUGCAUUAGUAGGUGGCAGAGAGAAGAGAGGCUAUGUCUAUGAUCAAUGUUCUGGCCUGAGAAUGUCUGAAUGAAUAGUACCUUAACAUU